GACGAACGCUGGCGGCGUGCCUAAUACAUGCAAGUUGAGCGAUGAAGAUUGGUGCUUGCACCAAUUUGAAGAGCAGCGAACGGGUGAGUAACGCGUGGGGAAUCUGCCUUUGAGCGGGGACAACAUUUGGAAACGAAUGCUAAUACCGCAUAACAACUUUAAACAUAAGUUUUAAGUUUGAAAGAUGCAAUUGCAUCACUCAAAGAUGAUCCCGCGUUGUAUUAGCUAGUUGGUGAGGUAAAGGCUCACCAAGGCGAUGAUACAUAGCCGACCUGAGAGGGGGAUCGGCCACAUUGGGACUGAGACACGGCCCAAACUCCUACGGGAGGCAGCAGUAGGGAAUCUUCGGCAAUGGACGAAAGUCUGACCGAGCAACGCCGCGUGAGUGAAGAAGGUUUUCGGAUCGUAAAACUCUGUUGGUAGAGAAGAACGUUGGUGAGAGUGGAAAGCUCAUCAAGUGACGGUAACUACCCAGAAAGGGACGGCUAACUACGUG
rnacentral:rRNA from 1 species